CAGCACUGAUGAAUGGAAGUAUAGUCUGACCUGGUAUUGUUCUCCCCCUGGGACGACUCUGACCAGGGCAUGAUCACUGUAAUCUUCUCUCUGAGCGG